rnacentral:tRNA from 1 species
CGAGGGUUCGCCAAGUUGGUAAGGCAGCGGAAUUUGACUCCGCCAGUGCUUUCAAGCUGUCGCAGGUUCGAGUCCUGCACCCUCGGCCA